CGAUGAGUCAUACCCGGAGGAGAACAAGCUGUCCAACGAGCUGUCACGAGCAACGAGAAGCUCCAACCGCUGGCGUCCCCAGUGGGUGAUGCGGAGAAGAUGAACAGAAGCUGCGCACGCCGUUCCCGCCAGCCGCACGGUCCAAAUUCCGUUGCCAGGAACAGGCAACCCGUGCCCCUCGCUGCGCUGGACAAGACGGCAACGAAGUCAGGAAGGACCAGCGGAUCGGGGGCUUCAAGAUCCGGACCACAGUGGCCCUGACCAUGGAGUGUGGUUCCCGUCGGACGGGGAACUACAUCCUGCGUGGUGGAUGAACGAGUCACGGGAG